UACUUUAGUUAAUCCACACCUUCCUAUGAGCUAGGUAAUACUAUUAUCCCAUUUUACAGAUCAACAAACCUAAGCAGAAUGAGAUUAAGCAACUUGCCUAAAGUCACAUGGCAUACAAGAGGCAGAGCAUAUAUUAGAAUGAAGUUGGCCAUUAUGCUAUAUGGCAUCAUAUUGGCAACAUGCCAAUUCCUAUUUUUGAGUGAUAUGCAAAGAGCCAAAGACUCCAGUCAUCUAGUAAUUAAAGCUAUUCCUUGCUUGCCUGUUCUUUACAGUUUCACCUAGGAUCAAGAUUCAACUCAGCAAAUAGAAAACCUCAUGGACAUACUGAAAAAAUUAAGAGAAAGAAGUAAGUAAAUAUGUAUCUAAGGAAAUUUUAUAUAUAGCAUACAACAAGUUCAGUUGUGUUUACUGAAAAUGGGACUUGUGGUUUCAUGGAUUAAUCCCUGCUUCAUGCCAGUGUAUCUAGGAAUUAAUUAACUGGUAAUAGUAAUAACAGUGAUGAUCACAACUUCUAUUUGUGAAGUGUCUACUGGGAUUCAGACUUUGUGUUAAAUGCUUGUAUGUAUCUUGCACUUUAAUCAUAGCCUCUAUCUAGCAAUUUAAGCUUUAUUACUCCAUUGUCCAUAUGAAAAAAGUGUGAGUGUCAAAAAAAAUUACCUAACUUGCCCAAAAUUACUUAUUUUUUAAAAAUGACAGACAGUAUUUAAACCCAGUUCUUUGUAACUAACAUCCCAUACUGUUAAGUUUCAUGCAUACUUCCUACUAUGACUAUAUAGCAUUGUGCUAGAUAUCAUGGACAAUUUAAGAUAUAUAUUAUUUCAAAAAACAUUUAUAUAACAUGUAGCAUAUGUAAUAUAAAUUAUAUUCAUAUUAUAUAUGUUCACAUAUAAAUGUAUGUAUUGCCUUACUCUCAAAUAUCAUGUAGUGAAUUUGAGUAGACAAAAUAAAUUUGCCAAAAUAAAUAACUCA
rnacentral:lncRNA from 1 species